rnacentral:rRNA from 1 species
UGGGGAAUUUUGGACAAUGGGCGAAAGCCUGAUCCAGCAAUGCCGCGUGUGUGAAGAAGGCCUUCGGGUUGUAAAGCACUUUUGUCCGGAAAGAAAUCCUUGGCUCUAAUACAGUCGGGGGAUGACGGUACCGGAAGAAUAAGCACCGGCUAACUACGUGCCAGCAGCCGCGGUAAUACGUAGGGUGCAAGCGUUAAUCGGAAUUACUGGGCGUAAAGCGUGCGCAGGCGGUUUGCUAAGACCGAUGUGAAAUCCCCGGGCUCAACCUGGGAACUGCAUUGGUGACUGGCAGGCUAGAGUAUGGCAGAGGGGGUAGAAUUCCACGUGUAGCAGUGAAAUGCGUAGAGAUGUGGAGGAAUACCGAUGGCGAAGGCAGCCCCCUGGGCCAAUACUGACGCUCAUGCACGAAAGCGUGGGGAGCAAACAGGAUUAGAUACCCUGGUAGUCCACGCCCUAAAACGAUGUCAACUAGUUGUUGGGGACUUCAUUUUCCUUAGUAACGUAGCUAAACGCGUGAAGUUGACCGCCUGGGGAGUACGGUCGCAAGAUUAAAACUCAAAGGAAUUGACGGGGUCUAGCUGUUUCCU